AGCACAUUUGCCUUACCGUCUCCUGAAUGACCCUCUAACCGCAUAGCCUGCACGCUUGGCUGAGGAUGUGUGUGCAGAAGGUAAUGAGGAUGAAACUGGAUCCAUCUUCCUGUCAUUGUGGCUGAUGGCCUGGCUGGAAGGUGUUGCUGGAGACUUGUGCCGUCAGGACACUGGUGGGGUUGCAGGUGGCAGGUAUGGGCCCUGCAUAGGUGAUUAGGGAAAACCCUCUUGGGUAUCUGUGAGCUGGUUUUGAUCCUGCACCUGUGGGUGUCAAAUGUCUUGAUCAGUCUCUGAAGAGGAGGAUAGGACAUCAGAGAGAGAAGGGGUGACAGACAGGAGGAAAAGGGACUGGAGGCUAGGCUUUGGAGAGAAAGAGGGGCAGUCCCAGAGAGAGGAAAUGUGGAAAAGGGAGGUAAUAGCCAUAUGAUGUAUGGAAGAAGUACAUCAAGUUCAUGGUUCAUUAAGUUCAUUUUGCCUGUGCCCCUUCUACUUGUUUGCUUUUCAUCUCGUACAGAGCGUUAGCAUAAUCCGUUUGUGAAUGACAUAACUAUAUAAUCGAUCAUCCCCUAUAGAAGUAUUGCAUGAGGCGCCCACCGUGUCGCCUCUGCGUGAGGGCUGGGCGAGGAAGUGAGUCAGGGGCAGCCCCGGUGCAGCAGCCGGUGUCUGCCCUCGCUGCCUGGCUGAGCGCUGCACUGGAAUUUUCCAGGUAGGGCAUGGGGAGAGGUGAGAGGGAGAGCGCGUGGGAUGGGAUUUGGACAGGGAAGAGCUCGUCCUGGGGAGAACUGCCACUGUGCCAAGCUUCUGGUACGUGAGGGAACACCAAACGAUAUGAAUAAAUUGGGGAAAAAAAUGCAGCGGAUGCAUUUUAAAAUAUCUAAUGCCGCCUCUGCAUUUUAUUACCUUUUCAUUACCAUUUUCCUUUAUUAAUUUGAAACAUACACUGACUUUUUUUUCCUCUCUCUCCAGUGUGGAUUUCAACACAUUUUUGUGCAUGUGCCAAGAACACUGUGUUCUGUUAAGUCACGGGGUGACGUAGGGUGCUGGCCAACCGCCAACCUGGGUCAAGUUCAUUCAAAUAAGUUUCAGUGGUGGCUUUUGCUGCCUGAGCCCCGUCAGUCCUGCUUUCGCAUGUGUGUAACAACCUCAAGAAUAGCAGAGUGUUUUAAAAGAUACGGAAAUAUAUCUUAAGGGAGGAGCAGCAAUGGAACUACGGGAUCACUUGAAAGAAUGCUUGGAAAAAAAUGGAGAUGACAGGACUCAUAAAAUUGUUCUUGGGACUUGACCACUGAGUUAUGUUGGGCAAAGGAUGGUGAUUAAAAACUGUGCACGUACAAA